rnacentral:rRNA from 1 species
AGCGAACGCUGGCGGCAGGCUUAACACAUGCAAGUCGAACGGACCCUUCGGGGUUAGUGGCGGACGGGUGAGUAACACGUGGGAACGUGCCUUUAGGUUCGGAACAACACAGGGAAACUUGUGCUAAUACCGGAUGUGCCCUUAGGGUGAAAGAUUUAUCGCCUUUAGAGCGGCCCGCGUCUGAUUAGCUAGUUGGUGGGGUAAAGGCCUACCAAGGCGACGAUCAGUAGCUGGUCUGAGAGGAUGGCCAGCCACAUUGGGACUGAGACACGGCCCAAACUCCUACGGGAGGCAGCAGUGGGGAAUCUUGCGCAAUGGGCGAAAGCCUGACGCAGCCAUGCCGCGUGAAUGAUGAAGGUCUUAGGAUUGUAAAAUUCUUUCACCGGGGACGAUAAUGACGGUACCCGGAGAAGAAGCCCCGGCUAACUUCGUGCCAGCAGCCGCGGUAA